rnacentral:rRNA from 1 species
AUACGUAGGUGACAAGCGUUAUCCGGAUUUACUGGGCGUAAAGGGCGUGUAGGCGGUCUUGCAAGUCAGAAGUGAAAUUCCUGAGCUCAACUCGGGCGCUGCUUCUGAAACUGCAGGACUUGAGUGCUGGAGGGGAUAGCGGAAUUCCUGGUGGGGCGGUAAAAUGCGCAGAUAUUAGGAAGAACACCGGUGGCUAAGGCGGCUAUCUGGACUGUAACUGACGCUGAGGCUCGAAAGCGUGGGGAGCACACAGGAUUAGAUUCCCUGGUGGUCCACGCCGUAAACGAUGAAUACUAGGUGUAGGGGGUAUCGACUCCCUCUGUGCCGCAGUUAACACAAUAAGUAUUCCGCCUGGGGAGUACGGCCGCAAGGUUGAAACUCAAAGGAAUUGACGGGG